rnacentral:tRNA from 1 species
AAAUCCGUUGACUUUCAAAAUCGUGAG